rnacentral:rRNA from 1 species
UACGUAGGGUGCGAGCGUUGUCCGGAAUUAUUGGGCGUAAAGAGCUUGUAGGCGGUUUGUCGCGUCUGCCGUGAAAGCCCAGGGCUUAACCCUGAGCCUGCAGUGGGUACGGGCAGACUAGAGUGUGGUAGGGGAGAUCGGAAUUCCUGGUGUAGCGGUGGAAUGCGCAGAUAUCAGGAGGAACACCGAUGGCGAAGGCAGAUCUCUGGGCCGUAACUGACGCUGAGGAGCGAAAGCAUGGGGAGCGAACAGG